UACGUAGGGGGCAAGCGUUGUCCGGAAUCAUUGGGCGUAAAGAGCGUGUAGGCGGCUCGAUAAGUCCGCUGUGAAAGUCCAGGGCUCAACCCUGGAAGGCCGGUGGAAACUGUCGGGCUAGAGUCCGGAAGAGGCGAGUGGAAUUCCCGGUGUAGCGGUAAAAUGCGCAGAUAUCGGGAGGAACACCAAUGGCGAAGGCAGCUCGCUGGGACGGUACUGACGCUGAGACGCGAAAGCGUGGGGAGCAAACAGG
rnacentral:rRNA from 1 species